GGCGGGGCGGGGGGGGGCGGCGGCGGCCGGGAACGGAGAAGCGGCCGGGCUGGGAGAGCGUCCUCGUCGCCUUCAACCUCCCCACGCGAGAGAGGAAAAAGUAGAGACGGUGAAGCCUUGGGUUACAUGACAACUGCAAAAAACUUUUCAAACAGGUGUGCCUGCAAUGUAACAUUGGAUUUCAGCAAUAUUAUUGGUUCUGCAUACAAGGAUACUACCAAAUGGAGUUGAAAUUGCAGCUGCGUUAAGUUUGGUGACAUUUGCAAAGGAUUGGUUGAAAGAACAGAGUCACAAUACAGGAAAACGUUGUUCUCCUGUUUUUGACUGCAUCCUUGCGCCGUCGUUACAACCGAUUUCCAAAGGCUAAACCUUGAAAUCAAAUGUAAUUUUGAAGCCAUUCUUGAUUAUUUUGCCAGCUGCGGUACAUGAUCAGAACUAAGGCGACAAUGGCCAGACUAUGUAAGUUAUUCAUUCAAUGUUUUUCUACAUCCCGAUUAAUGGGCAAUUCGGAGAGCGUUGUGUAAUCUCUACUUUAAUGAACUAUAUUAUAUCGGUUAUUUUAUUCUUCCUUUUUUUGUUCAUUGGCUUUACUACUUUAUAGACACCUACCAGAGGCUAUAAGGAAAGUGAGCUUGAAUAUGGUGCAGGAUGUCAGUAAAAUAUGUGAAUGGAUCAAGAAUUGUGUCUGGUGCAUAGAUUUAAUUGAUACAUUGCCAGUUUGGACAACACCUUCAAACAUUAUCUCGGAAAGAGUUCAUCUGCACAACAAGACUUGGAUGGAAAGGCAUUUCUGCCCCAGCACAACAUAACUCCUGGAGUCAUAUUCGGCCUCCCAAGGUCCUACUAGGGUUGUUCUUUCUAAGGGCGAAGCAUCGCCUGUUGUGCCAAUGCCGGGCAAAAGGAAUAGCUCUCUUGAAGGACAAAAUGCUGUAACUCUCUUCAUAUACAAGAUAGAACCUAUGACUUCAAUUCCGGUAUAAUUUCGCCACUUGCGCCUGUGGCGCAAUGGGUCAUAUAUUCUCUGAGGUUCCCUAAUGUUUCUGAAAGCUGCCCUCAUGUUUGCUAAUGUUUGAUUUGUGCUGUCGCAAGUAGCUUUUGUUUGCACUACUGGACGAACUAUGUUGAGCUUUACUUCUAGGAGGCAAAUUACUCUUUAGCUUAAACAGAUACUAAGAUUUUACAGGACAUUUUACACGGCUCUUUGAUCACAUCUCCUGGUAUUUUGGGUCUUUCAGGUGAUAGAAAUAGCCAGAUGGAUCACGAAAACAUUGUGAAGAUGGUGAGAUAUUGCAAGGAGUCUUAUCCGUUCUGAGGAAUGCUUGUCUUUGAGUACCAGCCAAAUGGGACCCUCUACGGUAAGCCGAUAUGGUCUUGGCACUGCAACCUUGUGCAUAUGAUGCCAUUUGACUGAAAACAUGGCGGGCGAAGAUUUUGCUCAGCAUCGCGCGCAUUCUAAUACACUUCACACUGAGCCGAUGGCUCUUCUCGCGCUCCCCGUGUUGACGGCCAGUUCAGUCUAUUAGUUAUAACAUGGCUUCUUCACUGCAGUUGACAACGAAGACUGCAGGGUGAAAACCCCACAGCAAAUUUAUUGAUUAGUAAAGUCAUAUACAAAAGAUUUGCAAAGGUUAGAGAGUCAUCUAGCUAUAACAGAGAGUCAAUCCAUAUUGCAAACUGUUGUGAGUACUUGGCUUUCACCCUAUGCAAGUGCAGGGUGAUCUCAUGCCUAAAUUUGCUUGUCCAGGAUCUAAAAGAUGGCAACACAUUCUGAAAAAUAGCUUCAUUUCUCUGUUUCCAAAUGUGCCAGGCAGCCAGAAUAACACUGCUGCUUUGUCAACAUAAAACUCUGCUCAAUGGAGUUACCCUGCUGCCAGUGAAUCUGUAGAUAGUUCCAUAUCCUGAUGCUAAAGUUGCAGCCAAAAAAGAGAUGCAUCCAAUCCUCAGUGCACCUUGUGGGACACAACACACAGUGAAAGACAUUCUCCAAAAAAAACACACGCACAGUGAAAGACAUCAGUGACAUUCCAGUGUCUUCUGCGAAGCAUGUCUCUGGUAUUUAGUAUAUCACUGAAAAGCAGCCAAGCAUGGUAUUUUCAAUUUAAAUCAUGUAAGUGUGGUUUUUCAUGGAUGUGAUACUCCGUGCUGCAAUCAUUUGGCAAUCAUUCUUGCCAUGAAGAAAUCGUAGAGAUUACAACCUUUGAGAAGGUUAAAGAUACAAUAUGUUCUCCUCGAGUAAAAUUAGUUCUGCGCAUUCUGAAAUAGAAGUUAUGUCUUGCAACUUCUGGUCACUGCUCUUUGCUAUAAGAAUCAUUGGUUGUUCAGGUAAAAAAAAUAAUCAUUGGUUGUAAUGAGCAUUCAUAGGGCAUAUUGUGGUGUUUAAAAUCUGAAUAGUCAGUUGCUCUUUUAUUUCUUUAUUGCAGCUACCAUCCCAUAUUAAAUCCCUUUGCAUGUAUUGACUAUUUGUUCUGGAUUCUGGUCAAAACAAAAACAUUAAUGUUGAAAACUAAAUAUGCAAUUUUGACUGUAAGAAAUUUAACUAAUGUCAUUUGUAUUUCAAUCAAAUAACUUAAUAAUGGUUUAAGCUCUGGACUGCUGCUUUUGCCCGCAAAAGAUUAAUUUCCCUUUUACAGGUUUUUGUACAGCUGUUGAUUGUGCAAUGCUCAUGCUUUUGUAGAGUGAAAGAUAGAAUCUUGCCAUUUCCGUUGGAUUUCAUGAAUUUUUGCAGAUGUGUGGGUAGAAGAAAUCCAAAAGGGAAGCACAUAGCGAUCACAUUGGAGCCCUCAUUGUCGUCGAUGGAAACACUGAAGCGAGCUUUUUCCCGACCAAACCCGAAGUCCCUCUGUGUAGUCGCUCUCUUCCUCCUUCUCCGACUGGCCGGCGCUGCCUGCGCCGCUCCCCUCCGCGCAGCUCCACGCCGCUUGCGCCUCCUCUCCCUCCCUCGCGGUUCCUCUCCCUCCCCAGCACAGGCGCCCUCUCCCUUGUGUGCGUCACCGGCGCUCUCUUCCUCUCGCAUGUCCCUCCGCAUUGGUGAAAAUGCGAUUUUCCCCUUCGGCACUCCGAUCUGCAGCGGCCGUGCUCAAACUGCGGUGGGGACUACCAAGACGGCGCGACGGAGCUGCUUUUGUCGGUCGCCUGCACGGGGCUCCUGCUGCCGGUCGUCAGGUGAGGAGCGCGUCUCCUGCAGCUGCGACUACCUGGCCACGCAGCAGCGGCGGCGGGAUGGUGGCGUCAAGGGGGCUCCUCCGUCCGCUCUAGGACUCCACUCCGCCAAAGGGGGCGAGCUCCUCCGUCCGCUCUAGGACUCCACCGCCAUGGGGGCACGCCCUUGCAUCCGGGAGGUGCUCGAGCUUGUCAAAGGUGCCCCUCCCCUUCCCCCACUGGAUCCUAUUUGCUGGUGAAUUGCAGGUCCAAGUCACUGAAUGUAUUGGCAGAGUUCAUAUUUAGACUGAAUGUUUACUACUCCUCUCAAUAGCAUAUUGAAUUUUUAGACAAUUUAAUCUUGAAGUAUAAACUGAAUGUUUAGACAGAGUUUUUAUUCAUGUCUAAGUAUAAACUGAAUGCUGCUCGUCUUUAGUAAUGCUACCUCGUAACGGCAGGAUUCCUGGCGCACCAUGGCCGUACAUCUGUUUCGCCCCUCAUUAGCCCAAUUUUAGUUUGGCAGUGUUGGGGAUUGGGAUGUGCUGAUUAGGUGCGUGCUUCUUCUAUGUAGAAACUAGUUGAUCUACUGCUUGGCAGAAAAGGAGGACAUUUACAUUUUCUCAAACUACACUCAAACCAGUUAGAGUUAGGGCUUUACACUUUAGAAGAACUGAGCUCUGAAUAUUCAUCUGUUUUAAUAAAAAAAAAUCAGGGUUUCCGCUUGAAUGGAAGAAGCACCUUUUGCUAUUCCCUUUUUGUGUCCGCUAACAAUACUAAAAUGUCAUCAAGCUGAACUUACAAAUGAUUCCUCUAUGAGCUCCAGUUUCAUGUACUGUCUUUGCUGCACUUCCAUUUUCGUCAUUCUGUAGCAGCUAAAACAUGGUGCGGCAUUGUCACCUCCAGAACAAUGGAGAAAGACUUGAUCAGAGUUCUUAUUCAGAGUUCUGGGCUUCAGAGCUCGGUCUGAAUUUGUAAGAGAGAUCUAGGUGUGAACUAUGAACUAGGAGCUGUACUCACAUUGCACAUAAAGAAGAUGCUGUAAACUGUCUUGGUGAAUUUGUUCCAAUUGCAGAAAAUUCAGUCACUCUAACUGCGCAUAAAGUAAAUUUUAGAAUGACUGAAUUUUAGAAUUCGUUCGAAUUGCUGAAAAUACUCCAUGUUCAAGUUGAAAAUGGCUGUGGAGAAUUUUAGAAAGUGGCAUUUGUAAUCAGUGUGCUAUCUUUUGAGUUGCUGUAUUAAUAUAGGAGUACUCUGUUUAGAACAUGGAGCAAAUUCAGUAGACAUUUUUACAAGAAUUCAGUAGAUUUCUUUUGUACUGAAAACUUUAGACUUGCUUUUGUACUGCUCCAGCUUACUCAAAACUUCAGAACAUGUUCAGUUUUCAGUUAAUUCCAUACAAGGGACUCUUGCUUUUUUACUAAAGCUAGAUUGCAAUUGCAGUAGAAGAUAAUCUCAUAUCAUCAGAUAUCAUAUCAUCUACUGAUGAUGAGAUUAGCAAAGGCCUUGCUUAACAAGCAUACAGAUUAGCAAAGGCCUUGCUUGCCUCAUUAGUUGCUGUAGUUGUCAAGCAAAAAUUUCAUUCCACUAACCCAAAUUAAUUCAAAUAAUUCAAAACUGUCUGACAAUGAUACUUCACUUAAUGUCGUAAUGGUACCACAUUCAGCAGGCAAGAAUCUGAAGGACUUAUUGGAUCAUGGAGCAAGGGAUAAGUACAUAUUCUUCUUGCAGUAAGUGGUUUAGCUGUUGUUAGCUGGACAUGCAAAAUUCUCCUUACUAUUGUUAGCUGUUGAACUUUGUACUACUCCAGUGGUAGAUUUUGGGUAGUUAAACAUCUCUACUCUCUUAUUUCUGCUUAUUGUUUUAAUAUUUUUCCAGAUCGUUUUGCGGAAGAUAGUCCAUUAGUUUGACAACAUUCUGUCUAAUAAAUCAUACUACAAACAGUUUCUACAGCCAUUCUCUUGUUUAUUCCUCUAGUACUGAUAGAAGUCCAAGAGCUGUGGAUGCAUCUAUGUGCUUGUGAAUCCAUGCUAAAUUGGAAUGGAGUACAUUUUUUUUUAAAACAAGUCAGUUACUUAAUUAUCAGGUCUGUACUCAUGUGCCAUGCAUAAAUUGUGUUAUCUUGAAUGACUGAUCUAAGUCACAUAUCUUACGAGUUAAUUUUUGAUAUAGCAAGCAACAACAUGAUGAAGAGAUUACAACAACAACAGUCGCUACAGAUCAAUCGACAGGGGAAGAACAGCAGAAGACCAUAGAUUAUUGUACCUUCUUCUUCAGAGAAGAUCAGCAGGUCAGCACGAGCACGAGCUCCACCGGCAAGCAUGCAGCGUGGGCGAGCGUGCACGCACCCGAGCGUGGGUGAUACUCCAAUGGCAGCGGCGCCGGUUUUUGGUCACCGGAGGAGCUACUGACGAGCUCCAAUGGCAGCAAGCGGCAGACCACCACGGCCAGGAGAACCAGCAACCAAUUGACAGGGGAAAAGUGACCUGGAGGACCCGAAGAUCACCCUGAAGCUGUUGAGCCGCUCGGGGAAACCAGAGGAGGAGCGAUGGCGUUGAGCUCGUGUGCAGAUUCGGCGGCCGGAGUGGGAGGAGACGGGAUCGAUUUCGUCGAUCAGGGGCUUCCCAGCAAGCGUGGCUCAAGGAGGGCGUAGGUAUCGGCAAGGCGGAGCUCCUGAUAUGCUCGGGAAGGACUGAGGAGGUGCGACGGCGCCGAGCCCCUGUGCGGACGCCGCUGUCGGAGGGGGAGGAGACGGGCUCGUUUUUGGAGUGGGGACAGCUCUUGUGCGGAAGCAGCAGCCGACAGCAAGGGAGAAUCUGCAGGUUAAGAUGCAGCAGCGGUAGGAGCUCCACCGGCAGCAGCGACAGGAGCUCCACCGGCCUGGAGCCCGGCCGGCGACAGGAUCUUCCCCCGACCUGAGCCUGCGUGCGGGUUGCUUUGAGAUAAUUUGAAGUUGCAGAAGGGUGUUUUUGUAAAAAAUGCGGUAGUUCAAAAUUGAAACCCCCUACGACAUGAAUUUCAGGACGAAGGGAGUAUAUAGCUGCAAUGAUUUUGAAUUUGUAAUGACCCGAUAAAUCACGGGUAGACAUGCGGCCAUGUGAGGAUGGUAUCUCAUCCGUUCGCUGCACAAAGAUCAAUGCAAUAAUUAUACAAUGAGUCAUGUAUAUUGAUUUC